UACGUAGGGGGCUAGCGUUGUCCGGAAUCAUUGGGCGUAAAGCGCGUGUAGGCGGUUCGGUAAGUCCGCUGUGAAAGUCGGGGGCUCAACCCUCGAAAGCCGGUGGAUACUGGCGGACUAGAGUGCGGAAGAGGCGAGUGGAAUUCCUGGUGUAGCGGUGAAAUGCGCAGAUAUCAGGAGGAACACCAAUUGCGAAGGCAGCUCGCUGGGACGUUACUGACGCUGAGACGCGAAAGCGUGGGGAGCGAACAGG
rnacentral:rRNA from 1 species